UGAGACAUGGUGAUGUAAGGUGAGACAUGGUGAUGUCAGGUGAGGUGAAACAAGGUGAUGUCAGGUGAGACAAGGUGAUAUCAUGUGAGACAAUGUGAUAUCAGGUGAGACAAAGUGAUGUCAGGUGAAGUGAGACAAGGUGAUGUAAGGUGAGACAAGGUGAUGUCAGGUGAGGUGAGACAAGGUGAUGUCAGGUGAGACAAGGUGAUGUCAGGUGAUACAACGUGAUAUCAUGUGAGACAAUGUGAUAUCAGGUGAGACAAAGCAAUGUCAGGUGAAGUGAGACAAGGUGAUGUAAGGUGAGACAAGCUGAUGUCAGGUGAGGUGAGACAAGGUGAUGUCAGGUGAUACAAGGUGAUGUCAGGUGAUACAA